rnacentral:tRNA from 1 species
AAUUAAUAAGCAUUUAGCAUUAUAUUUUGAAAAUAUAAAUAUAGAAAUAAAAUUUCUAUUAAUUU